GACGAACGCUGGCGGCGUGCCUAAUACAUGCAAGUAGAACGCACAGUUUAUACCGUAGCUUGCUACACCAUAGACUGUGAGUUGCGAACGGGUGAGUAACGCGUAGGUAACCUGCCUGGUAGCGGGGGAUAAUUAUUGGAAACGAUAGCUAAUACCGCAUAAUAUUAAUUAUUGCAUGAUAAUUAAUUGAAAGGUGCAAUUGCACCACUACCAGAUGGACCUGCGUUGUAUUAGCUAGUAGGUGAGGUAACGGCUCACCUAGGCGACGAUACAUAGCCGACCUGAGAGGGUGAUCGGCCACACUGGGACUGAGACACGGCCCAGACUCCUACGGGAGGCAGCAGUAGGGAAUCUUCGGCAAUGGACGAAAGUCUGACCGAGCAACGCCGCGUGAGGGAAGAAGGUUUUCGGAUCGUAAAGCUCGGUUGUAAGAGAAGAACGGGUGUGAGAGUGGAAAGUUCACACUGUGACGGUAUCUUACCAGAAAGGGACGGCUAACUACGUG
rnacentral:rRNA from 1 species